GACGAACGCUGGCGGCGUGCUUAACACAUGCAAGUCGAACGGAAAGGCCCUGCUUUUGUGGGGUGCUCGAGUGGCGAACGGGUGAGUAACACGUGAGUAACCUGCCCUUGACUUUGGGAUAACUUCAGGAAACUGGGGCUAAUACCGGAUAGGAGCUCCUGCUGCAUGGUGGGGGUUGGAAAGUUUCGGCGGUUGGGGAUGGACUCGCGGCUUAUCAGCUUGUUGGUGGGGUAGUGGCUUACCAAGGCUUUGACGGGUAGCCGGCCUGAGAGGGUGACCGGCCACAUUGGGACUGAGAUACGGCCCAGACUGCUACGGGAGGCAGCAGUGGGGAAUAUUGCACAAUGGGCGGAAGCCUGAUGCAGCAACGCCGCGUGCGGGAUGACGGCCUUCGGGUUGUAAACCGCUUUCGACUGUGACGAAGCGUGAGUGACGGUAAUGGGUAAAGAAGCACCGGCUAACUACGUG
rnacentral:rRNA from 1 species